GCCUUUCGGGGUGGAUUAGUGGCGAACGGGUGAGUAACACGUGGGCAAUCUGCCCUUCACUCUGGGACAAGCCCUGGAAACGGGGUCUAAUACCGGAUAACACUCUGUCCCGCAUGGGACGGGGUUAAAAGCUCCGGCGGUGAAGGAUGAGCCCGCGGCCUAUCAGCUUGUUGGUGGGGUAAUGGCCUACCAAGGCGACGACGGGUAGCCGGCCUGAGAGGGCGACCGGCCACACUGGGACUGAGACACGGCCCAGACUCCUACGGGAGGCAGCAGUGGGGAAUAUUGCACAAUGGGCGAAAGCCUGAUGCAGCGACGCCGCGUGAGGGAUGACGGCCUUCGGGUUGUAAACCUCUUUCAGCAGGGAAGAAGCGAAAGUGACGGUACCUGCAGAAGAAGCGCCGGCUAACUACGUGCCAGCAGCCGCGGUAAUACGUAGGGCGCAAGCGUUGUCCGGAAUUAUUGGGCGUAAAGAGCUCGUAGGCGGCUUGUCACGUCGGAUGUGAAAGCCCGGGGCUUAACCCCGGGUCUGCAUUCGAUACGGGCUAGCUAGAGUGUGGUAGGGGAGAUCGGAAUUCCUGGUGUAGCGGUGAAAUGCGCAGAUAUCAGGAGGAACACCGGUGGCGAAGGCGGAUCUCUGGGCCAUUACUGACGCUGAGGAGCGAAAGCGUGGG
rnacentral:rRNA from 1 species